UUAAAUAAUUGUGACAUUUAAAAAUUCUUAAUACGUUCGUGAACAAUUUCUUAUUUAGUUAUUCAUUUAUUCAUAUAGGUAUUAUAAAUAUUUAUUCGUAUAUUCAUAUUUAAUUUUUUCCCAUAAUAUUUAUUAAGAUAAUUUAAGAAAAUACUAUUAUACACAUUGUAAUGAUUAUUUAAUAAUCGUAAUAUUUAAACAUUUUUUAAUAACACUUUCUCUUGUUCAUACACACGCAUGUAAUCGAUUCCUUUUUCAUUCAAUAAUUCAUAUAUUCGAAGGAUUUAACAACAUCAAACAUGUAUAGUUAAUUGUUCCAUUUUGUAAUCUUCAUUGUAACUUUCAGAAACUUCGUGAAACUGAACAAUUCGAAAAGUUCGGCAUUCGAAUUGUAGUCGAAUCGUGACAACAAGUUCAGUAUGCAAAAGCUUAUGGUAGCAAGUGGCAGGAAGAUAGGAAGCAUUAGGGAACUAGGGCAGCACGAGCGAAGCGAUGAUGUAAUGUUUCUCUUGGCGUUUUGUAGGCUAAACUGUUUUACGUACGUAGCAUUAAUAUCAUGAGACUCCGUUUUCUACUAUGACACGAACGAAUUUGAUAAAAGAAAAAAAAAAAGAAAAUUUAGCGAACAUGUGAUGCAGAAAAUAUGCGUAUAUGUGUAUGCUUUUAGAUUAUUACAAUCUCUGUCUUACUAAUUAUCAAUUUUCGAAGAUAUCGUUAACACAUUUUUAUGAGACAGAGAUUACAUACGUGAAUAGUAUAAUUAAAGAUACUUUGAUAUAUUCAACAUAAUAUUUUAUUUAUCAUUAACUUGAUUCAUAAAUAAAUUGAUUAUAUUCUAAUUUAAUCGUUAUAUAUAUAUAUGUAUGUAUCUACAUAUUUAUUAUAUAAUAAAUUAUAUUAUAAAUAUAGUUAUUUAUGAAUCGAUCUAACACACGCGCGCACGCACGCAUGCACAAAUACGAUAUUUUAUAUGUAGAAUUCUUAGCAUUAACAUUUUGCAUAAUUUUUGAAUUGAUUCAUAAAUAAGAGUUGUUUUAUUGUAAUAAACUUCUUUACUUACAACACUUAUUUAUGAAUCAACUCAAUAUAUUGUAUAGUGUAUUCCAUAAAUGUAUGAUUAUAUUGAAUAUUUUUAGAUGAUGUACAUACAUAUAUUGGCGGUUGACGGCUAAAGUAUUAUAAUAUAAAUCAGAACGAUUAGUUUUCCAGAGAAGUAUUUAUAAAAAAUAUUAAAAUCUAGCAAUGUAAGAUCAAAUAUUAGGUCUUAAAACGUGAAAGGUGAUAACAUAUGUAUAUAUGUCUCGUCCCAUUGGACUUACAAAAAUUUUUUUUUCUGUGAAAUUGUAAUAUUAAAUUGUGAAAUUAUAAUAUUAGAACCAUAAAUAAGGAAUAAAUUAAAAAAACUUUUUCUUUUUCCAACAUAUACAUAUGUAAAUCUUUCAUGACGUCAUUUAACAUUGAAAUUCUUAGAACAACUAAAGAUUCUCUUUCAAUAGACGACUUAAAUCUUUUUUGUUUAUUUUUCUUUCAAAAUAUGCGUAAUUAGAUAUCGUAAUAUUUAUAUGUUUUUAAAGUCGUAUAUUAAUUCAACCUUCUGUAAGGUUAUUUAACAUCGAGCUUCUCAAUAGAAAAUAAUGAGUAAUCUUCGUUCAGAUCUUUUUUGUUUACUUUUCUUUUGGUAAGGGUAUAACGUACGAAUGGUUUGUAUUUGGCUUCUUUGUUUUCAAGAUACGUAUGGGAGAAGAAUAACAAGAUACGUAUAGAGGACUUUCAGUAUAACACGAGUCGUCAUCGCAGAAGGAAGUCUUCGUAAGUACCACGUAGUAUUACUUGAAAAUUGAAAAGAGAAGUCCCGUGGAAGCCAUACGAGUUUGGUUAAUCAAAAUCAAAGGAAACGUCUUCUUUCGUACGUAUUUUUCGACUUCAUCGAAAGCUAUUUGCGGAGAAAGUAACACAUAUUGAUUAGAUCGGUUAACGAUAGUGGUGAAAUAAAGUGUAUCAAGAGCAAAUGUAUAAACCAUUAGUAUAGUUUUGAAUAACGAAGAGUUAAUUAUUAACAUAAGGAAACAAUAUUCUUAUUUUCUUUUUGUUUUGCUCUUAAUAUAAGUUCUAAGUACGAGAAUUUUACUACUGUGUCAAAGAAUAUUGUAAGAGUCGAAUAAUAAGGAUUAUGGGAGUAUCAAGAGUGUGUAUAUGGGAUGGAUUUCCAGAAUACUCCUCUUGUUCCUUCGCCAUCCCGUGGGACUUCUUUCCAGCUCUUUCUUCGAACAGUAUAAUCAGAGAAGCGAAGAGGCACCUUACGUUCUGUACGCUUCAGAAAGAAUCGGGAAAAGGAAGAGCUUCUAGCAACGACGAAGGAAAUGGGCGACGAGAGAAAUGGAAGGUUAAAAAAAGGAAAGGAUAAAGAUUCUGUGGUGCUUUUCAUUCCGAGCUCGUUCCUACUGGCCGUAGGAAUCCAAUAAUUGAUCCAGGGAGAUAUACGCCAUGAUUUAGCCCCGGAUGAUCUACAUGAAGAGUAAUCAAGCGAAAGAGAAAUAAUCAAGCCCAAGGAAUUUUUACAUAUGAAGAAACAGGUACGGAAGUCAAUUGUCCACGGUUACAAAAUCGUCUAACUCCGAUAUGAUACAUGCUACGUUUCAUUGGAUAACAUCAUUAUUUUUGAAGAUAAUCGAAGCAGUUUGAAGAAUUAUCAAACCAACGAGCAAUCUAUAGCGAUCAUCAGACAAAUAUUUUCCCUUACAGAAUACCGAAUAAUUACCAAGUGGAUAGAAACCAUUCUACCACUAUAAAACAAAAAUUUGUGUAAGAUAAUACUUUAUGAAAUAGAGAGAGAACGAUAAAUACUAUUAUAUUAAUCCAAAUAAAAAACAUUGUAUUAUAGUGCGUUACACUCUUGUAAAUUAUAUAACCCGCAAAACAUUCAUAUAAC